CAGCAGCCGCGGGAAUACAGAGGGUGCGAGCGUUAAUCGGAUUUACUGGGCGUAAAGCGUGCGUAGGCGGUUAUAUAAGACAGAUGUGAAAUCCCCGGGCACAACCUGGGAACUGCAUUUGUGACUGUAUAGCUAGAGUACGGCAGAGGGGGAUGGAAUUCCGCGUGUAGCAGUGAAAUGCGUAGAUAUGCGGAGGAACACCGAUGGCGAAGGCAAUCCCCUGGGCCUGUACUGACGCUCAUGCACGAAAGCGUGGGGAGCAAACAGGAUUAGAGACCCGCGUAGUCCCUGUCUCUUAUAC
rnacentral:rRNA from 1 species